GCCAUUUGAAACCUUAAUGUCAAAAUUUAGACAAACAUUGUUGCCUAGAGAUUCUGAAUUCUCCAACUCCAAGUUAUAGGCAUAGAUUGGUCCAUUUAAUCUAAGUUUUACUAUUCAUAGUUCAUUGAAUUCACUAUAAUUCUAAAUUCACUGAACAAACCUGUUACCUUCUCUUUCAUGUGGGUUUAGUGGGCUCUCUCAUUCUCAGAGGUUUGUGUGC